rnacentral:rRNA from 1 species
GAGUUUGAUCAUGGCUCAGGAUGAACGCUAGCGGCAGGCUUAACACAUGCAAGUCGAGGGGUAUUCUAGCAAUAGGAGAGACCGGCGCACGGGUGCGUAACGCGUAUGCAAUCUACCUUUCACAGAGGGAUAGCCCAGAGAAAUUUGGAUUAAUACCUCAUAGUAUUAUGGAAUGGCAUCAUUUUAUAAUUAAAGUCACAACGGUGAAAGAUGAGCAUGCGUCCCAUUAGCUAGUUGGUAAGGUAACGGCUUACCAAGGCGACGAUGGGUAGGGGUCCUGAGAGGGAGAUCCCCCACACUGGUACUGAGACACGGACCAGACUCCUACGGGAGGUGGCAGUGAGGAAUAUUGGACAAUG